rnacentral:ncRNA from 2 species
AAUGAGUUGGUUAGACGCUUUUCAUUAUAGGUCAUAUGGGGCUUUUUUUCUACAAGAAACGACCCUAUAAUUCCUGGGGUGGGAUUACCCACUACAGAAAUUAUAGAGCC